CGGGACCGGGGGGGGGUGCCUAAUACAUGCAAGUCGAACGCGUUGGCCCAAUUGAUUGAUGGUGCUUGCACCUGAUUGAUUUUGGUCGCCAACGAGUGGCGGACGGGUGAGUAACACGUAGGUAACCUGCCCAGAAGCGGGGGACAACAUUUGGAAACAGAUGCUAAUACCGCAUAACAGCGUUGUUCGCAUGAACAACGCUUAAAAGAUGGCUUCUCGCUAUCACUUCUGGAUGGACCUGCGGUGCAUUAGCUUGUUGGUGGGGUAAUGGCCUACCAAGGCGAUGAUGCAUAGCCGAGUUGAGAGACUGAUCGGCCACAAUGGGACUGAGACACGGCCCAUACUCCUACGGGAGGCAGCAGUAGGGAAUCUUCCACAAUGGGCGCAAGCCUGAUGGAGCAACACCGCGUGAGUGAAGAAGGGUUUCGGCUCGUAAAGCUCUGUUGUUAAAGAAGAACACGUAUGAGAGUAACUGUUCAUACGUUGACGGUAUUUAACCAGAAAGUCACGGCUAACUACGUGCCAGCAGCCGCGGUAAUACGUAGGUGGCAAGCGUUAUCCGGAUUUAUUGGGCGUAAAGAGAGUGCAGGCGGUUUUCUAAGUCUGAUGUGAAAGCCUUCGGCUUAACCGGAGAAGUGCAUCGGAAACUGGAUAACUUGAGUGCAGAAGAGGGUAGUGGAACUCCAUGUGUAGCGGUGGAAUGCGUAGAUAUAUGGAAGAACACCAGUGGCGAAGGCGGCUACCUGGUCUGCAACUGACGCUGAGACUCGAAAGCAUGGGUAGCGAACAGGAUUAGAUACCCUGGUAGUCCAUGCCGUAAACGAUGAGUGCUAGGUGUUGGAGGGUUUCCGCCCUUCAGUGCCGGAGCUAACGCAUUAAGCACUCCGCCUGGGGAGUACGACCGCAAGGUUGAAACUCAAAGGAAUUGACGGGGGCCCGCACAAGCGGUGGAGCAUGUGGUUUAAUUCGAAGCUACGCGAAGAACCUUACCAGGUCUUGACAUCUUGCGCCAACCCUAGAGAUAGGGCGUUUCCUUCGGGAACGCAAUGACAGGUGGUGCAUGGUCGUCGUCAGCUCGUGUCGUGAGAUGUUGGGUUAAGUCCCGCAACGAGCGCAACCCUUGUUACUAGUUGCCAGCAUUAAGUUGGGCACUCUAGUGAGACUGCCGGUGACAAACCGGAGGAAGGUGGGGACGACGUCAGAUCAUCAUGCCCCUUAUGACCUGGGCUACACACGUGCUACAAUGGACGGUACAACGAGUCGCGAACUCGCGAGGGCAAGCAAAUCUCUUAAAACCGUUCUCAGUUCGGACUGCAGGCUGCAACUCGCCUGCACGAAGUCGGAAUCGCUAGUAAUCGCGGAUCAGCAUGCCGCGGUGAAUACGUUCCCGGGCCUUGUACACACCGCCCGUCACACCAUGAGAGUUUGUAACACCCAAAGUCGGUGGGGUAACCUUUUAGGAGCCAGCCGCCUAAGGUGACAGAAGG
rnacentral:rRNA from 1 species